rnacentral:misc_RNA from 1 species
GAUGAAGAACGCAGUGAAAUGCGAUAAGUAAUGUGAAUUGCAGAAUUCAGUGAAUCAUCGAAUCUUUGAACGCACAUUGCACCCGCUAGUAUUCUGGCGGGCAUGCCUGUCCGAGCGUCAUUUCAACCCUCAAGCCCCCGGGCUUGGUGUUGGGGAUCGGCGAGCCUCCGCGCCCGCCGUCCCCUAAAUCUAGUGGCGGUCUCGCUGUAGCUUCCUCUGCGUAGUAGCACACCUCGCACUGGGAAACAGCGCGGCCACGCCGUUAAACCCCCAACUUCUGAACGUUUGACCUCGGAUCAGGUAGGAAUACCCGCUGAACUUAAGCAUAUCAAUAAGCGGAGGA